rnacentral:miRNA from 10 species
UGAUAGCAUUAGGUUGGUGCAAAGAUAAAAUUACAGUUUUAACCAUUACUUUUUAAUGGCAAAAACUGCAAUUACUUUUGCACCAAUCUAAUUAUUA